rnacentral:lncRNA from 1 species
UAUAAUAAAAUUGAGAAAGGAAAUGGUGAAUAUGUCAAAGCGACAACCACCCGACCAUAGAGCAGAUAACAGCCGAAGGCAACCAAUGGGUCUUCAAUGUAGCGAGAAUUCCUGCACCCGUAGGUGUCCUUCAGCUGGCCCCUAAAAAUAUGCAUAAUAGUACAGUGAUAAUGGACGUCAUACUAAACUCCGAAUUAUACACAAGAGACUAAAAUUUAAAAUCAUACAAGACUAACAAAGGCCAGAGGCUCCUGACUUGGGACAGGCGCAAA